GGGACGCGGCGAGGGGAGGGCGGGCGCGCCGGAGCGCCAAUGAGUUCACUUUCUUUUUCUCCCCCGCGCUCUCCCCCUCUCCCUUCCCGCCGGCCCCUCUAAGCCUCCGGCUCCGCCGGAGAGGCCGCGCCGGAGUUUUCGGUGCUCGGCGGGGGAGCCGGAGGACGGUGGCGGCGAGGGAGGAGGAAGAGGACAAGAAAAAGAGAUUCCCCGUUUACUGCCUUUUUCUGUCAAAUGGGACUUGCCGGACUGAACCACGUUCGCCGCCCCUCCCUCCUUCCCUCCUCCCGGCCGCGUCGGGUACGGGAAAGCUCCAAGGCUCCCAUGCUGUGACCAAUCAGUGCAUCUACUACUCUUGCCGUGAUUUAGGGGUCAUCCGUGAAUAACACUUCACGCUGAUGAAUGGCUCUUGCCGGCUUUCGGCUCUGAUGAGGGGUCUGCCCGCCGCUGACUGCAAACACUAAUGAACUUACAGCGCCCUCUGAAAUUCACACGCACCUACAAAGUGCAGGGGGUGGGCAUUUCAGGUCAGCGGAGUCACCCGAAGAGGUAGGAGUGCAAGACACUGCCGGGAAGAUGGAUUUCGAGGCAGAAGGGUGUAAUUAAGGAUUUCCACUCUCGGUAGGCGGCCCGUCCUUUACAAGAGGCUCUGAAAAUGACCUGCGCCUUCCCUUCCAGAGUGUCCUCUCGUCCGAAACUGAAAAGCGCAAAUGACCUUCGCACGCGGGAAGGGGCUCUGAACACCAAGCUUCCUUGCAAGCCCCAAGUCGGGGCUGGCGGAGAACAAGUGUCUGCCCUCGGGUUCAAGCACCAGGUCCUCCCCAACAAGCGCGCAGCGGCCAGGGGGCUGGAUUCUGGAGUCCUCCAAAGGCUCCACACCCCGCAUUCUCCGACCCCCCCCCCAUCCCCCGUUCUCCCCUCAGAUUAGCAGCCAAACGCUACCUCUGCCUCGACUUUGUUUGCUGUGGGAGGAAAAUAAAAGUUUACUGCUCUCCCCAAGACGCUGCCACUUUCUACUCGCUUAAGUUCCCCUCAGCACCCUCGCUCGCGACUCCCCAGCCCCUCUGCCCCGGCCUAAAGGAAGCCCACCGAGGCAGAUUGCAGUUCCGGCUGCUGCGGACCUUUGGAACACCCAAUCCGCGACCUUCGCGGAGCCGCUCUCCGGCUCUUUGCCGCUCUGGAACCUGCUCGGCACCCAGCGGCAGCAGGGCUGGGGCGUGCGCGCUUGGGGCGGACCAGCCCGCUGGGCUCCACUCCGGGCACCCCAGCGUCCUCCCCCCUGCCCCCCCUCCCCCGGGAGUAGCUCUGAAUUUGUUCCCCAGGCCUUAACGGGGCGCUAGCAAACUUGACCUAGGAAGCGUGGCAGAGGAACUAGCGAGCUGUCAGCCUUCUCAUUCCAUCUCCCGCUUUCAACUUCAGAGCAGAGGAUUCCAGCGACCUGCACCUAACGGGGGACUCGGGCUGGAAGGAAAACACCUGUAUUUGUAACUACGUGCAGAACACGAAACAGACUAAGCACUUUGAAAACAAGAGCAGUGCCUCCUAGGAAAGCCUGAGGCUUCACGAUAGAGUUUCUCCAAAGUUUUCGGGAGAACUGACAAGGAGAGUCCCUGAACUUGAGUUAGUGUGCCCAGUCCCACCACCUGAGUUCCCGAAGUUGUCAAAUGACCAAACGCACUUCACCUACUCGUUAAGAAAUAACGGUAAUGCGUGACCACCACGACCCCAUUCCUGGCGCGCCAGUGACGCUAAGCACUACAGGAAUCUAGAGUCGCCCUGGGGUGGAUCAGUCUCUUUCCUGCUUUGUGUGUUUCACACUUGAAAAAAUAAAAUAAAAUAAAA